rnacentral:rRNA from 1 species
UACGGAGGGUGCAAGCGUUAUCCGGAUUCACUGGGUUUAAAGGGUGCGUAGGCGGAUAGGUAAGUCCGUGGUGAAAUCCUGCAGCUUAACUGCAGAACUGCCGUGGAUACUAUCUAUCUUGAAUGUCGUGGAGGUUAGCGGAAUAUGUCAUGUAGCGGUGAAAUGCUUAGAUAUGACAUAGAACACCCAUUGCGAAGGCAGCUGGCUACACAUAUAUUGACACUGAGGCACGAAAGCGUGGGGAUCAAACAGG